ensembl:lncRNA
GCCCACUCUCGCGAGAGUCUCGGGUCUCUCGAAGUACCGAAUUGCUUUACGGUACUAGUACAGACCCAACACGGAACCGGAUCGAUAUAAACGAAAGUAGCGCAGGGUUUGUUACAUUCAUCAUGGAUCAGCCGACUAAAAUGAGACAGAAAAUCCCUAUGUCGGAGAAACCACAAGAGAAAAGGGAGACCGAUAGAGAGGCCAGACACGAGUAAACGUUGGGCGAGCUUUUCAGGAAUAGCGUGAACUGAAAGAAAAAGACUGCAAAUCAGAUGCCGACUUGCCAUGGCCGUGUUGCUCUUGAAAUUUUACAAGCGUUGGCAAACAGCAUUGCUAUGACGCUUGAUGACCCAAGACGGCUCGGCCUGCCUGCCCCGGUACAGCCAACACCCAAAUCCGAACUUGUGCGGGUACAAAUGUGACGAGGAAAUCUAGAGAACCCUCAAGAAGAUGUUACACAAUAGCCACACAGCAUCUGCCUAUCUAUGAGAACUCUCCUGCGGGGACGAGCGACAGCAUACCGUCUCAUCUCUGAAGCUAUUUCCCUGUCAUUCCGUACAAAAGUGACGUACUUGAACAGAUACAUAAAUGUACGAUUGCUGCGCAAAUUGGUCAUGCUGUCGUUAUGUAUUAUGUUGGCCAACACUCCAAUGAUCGUUCUGUUCAACAACCAAAGAUAAACCAAUUCUAAUCUAGGAUAUAACAUCUCCCCGUCAACUGAAAAAAGGAUGGGUUUAUUGUAAAACAUACACCCUUUCAAAAUGUAUAACCAUGUCUACUCUUUAUGAACAUCUACUUCGGACAUUGCU